CCGCUCGCUACAAGCAGGCCGAUUGUUCCUAGAGAUGGUGUUUGAAGUGAGCAAGGUGAGAAUGUCUGCUCAAUGCUGUUUUUUGUCAACAGCUCAGGAUCUCCCUGUCAGCUUCUGCAGAAGCUUCGGCGGUCCAAGGUAACAGCAUGCAUUGUGUGGAAAACGGCAUUCUGUUCGACGUUUCCUUUUGUGUCGUAUGAAAAUGUUUUCGCCUCUGCAUCCUCCCCUACCUCAGGUUUGCGUACGUGCCAAAAUCAAGCGCAGAACUCCGAUCUCCCACGCCUCUCAAAACCGCUUCACAAUGUUAGCAGAUCUGCCUGAUACGACUCCCUUUCUGAGGUUCCCGCUUCUUCAAGACCUUGGAUCCCUUUGCAAAAACAAGCGCAGCAAAAACCAGUAGCACUUCAGCCUGGACACUUCACUUUUUUGUUGUCGUUUUGUUUUAAACGGGACGUAAAAAGAGCAGAAUGUAAAAAAAGCCCAAUCAAUCCGAUACGAGAGGGAGUGACACGUUUUAAGUAUUAUAAAGUAUUACAUCUUUCAUUCUCUCUUUCUUUUUUCCGAAGCAGGGAGCAGAUCCAAACUCAGCAUGAGUAAACAGUGAGUCCUUCUCUGCCUGGUACAGAGCUGGUCCUGAAAGAAUGAUCUCCAUCUGACUGUUUGAUGACCCGAUAAAAACAUAAUUGAGAAUGUAUUUUCUGGCUAAACAAACCCUGGUCAUACCACGGAAACUAUAGGCUAGACAACUCCAUUGUGUGUACGUUUUCAAACACAAGGAGCAUGUUUAAGUUCACGGCUCGACAACACCAGGAUUGUGUGUGUGUGUGUGUGUGUGUGUGUGUGUGUGUGUGUGCAUGGAGGUCAUGAGGACAAGAUGAAUUUGUACAGGAGAAACAGUGCCCUAUCAUGGUGGCCAUGUUUCUCGGGAUCUCACUCCAUUGGAGCAGAGGGUGAUCUUAUCAUAACUAAAGUGCACAGCUUUGUUUGCCAGACAAAGAAAUGGAAAGAAAACUGUCUGAGGGCACGGCAGCAUUUUUCCAUGUAUGCUGAAAGAAAGUGAUAACCUGAAAAAAAUCGAAAAGGGUUUUAAUCAAGUAAAAAAUACGAUUUGAUGUUGCUGAAUCAAUCCCAAAUAUGUUUAAUUUAUAAAAGCAAAAACAUUUUUAUGGGUUAAAUGAGGCACAAAUAGCCUUUUAAUGGCAGGUUACCAAAUUUUUUACAGUGCAGAUGUGAAGGGUAAAGUCAGAACAAAAACUUCAAGGUCUCAAAGCAAUUCUCUCUUAUAUGAGUUAUUAAAGGAUAUAUUCCUGCUCGGGUGUCAUUUAUUCAUUCUCAUAUCGAUCCAAACCUAUGACUUGCUUUAAAUU